AAUUAUGACACUCUGGAGAAAGGGU
rnacentral:piRNA from 1 species